UACGGAGGUGGCAAGCGUUGCUCGGAAUCACUGGGCGUAAAGGGCGCGUAGGCGGGGUGGUAAGUCGGGUGUGAAAUCCCUCGGCCCAACCGAGGAACUGCGCCCGAGACUGCUUCUCUUGAGUCCCGGAGAGGAAGAUGGAAUUCCCGGUGUAGCGGUGAAAUGUGUAGAGAUCGGGAGGAACACCGGUGGCGAAGGCGGUCUUCUGGACGGUGACUGACGCUGAGGCGCGAAAGCGUGGGGAGCAAACAGG
rnacentral:rRNA from 1 species